UUGGCCGUAGCUUAAUGGCAAAGCACCGGGUUGUGGCCCCGGCCAUGACGGUUCAAUUCCGUUCGGUCAACCCA
rnacentral:tRNA from 1 species